AUUCCAGCUUCAGUAGCGUAUAUUAAAGUUGUUGCAGUUAAAAAGCUCGUAGUCGCAUUUCUGACGAGAGGAAUUGGUCCGACAUUUAUUGUGGGUACUCGAUUCUCUCUCGCCAUCCUUGAGUGGUCCGUUCUGGCAUUUAGUUGUCGGAGCGUCAGCCGCUCAUCGUUUACUGUGAGAAAAUUAGAGUGUUCAAAGCAGGCUUAUGCCGUUGAAUAUAUUAGCAUGGAAUAAUAAGAUAGGACCUCGGUGCUAUUUUGUUGGUUUGCGCACAGAGGUAAUGAUGAACAGGGACAGUUGGGGGUAUUCGUAUUUCGUUGUCAGAGGUGAGAUUCUUAGAUUUACGAAAGACAAACUACUGCGAAAGCAUUUACCAAGGAUGUUUUCAUUG
rnacentral:rRNA from 1 species